UACAGAGGGUGCAAGCGUUAAUCGGAAUUACUGGGCGUAAAGCGUGCGUAGACGGUUACAUAAGUCGGGUGUGAAAGCCCCGGGCUCAACUGGGGAGGGUCAUUCGAUACUGAUCGACUCGAAGGCAGGAGAGGGUAGUGGAAUUCCCGGUGUAGCGGUGAAAUGCGCAGAUAUCGGGAGGAACACCAAUGGCGAAGGCAGCUCGCUGGGACGGUACUGACGCUGAGACGCGAAAGCGUGGGGAGCAAACAGG
rnacentral:rRNA from 1 species